rnacentral:lncRNA from 1 species
UUCAUUAAAAGAGAUCUUAGUUCAAUCUUAACAAAGAAGAAGAAGAAGAAACUGAUGAGGAUAGAAAGAAGAACCUGAACAUUAAACAAAUAGAAAAAAACCAUUCAAAGUGUCCCCUUCCCAUAAAUAUACUUUUAGUCCCCUGAUUUCCCUACCAAACCCAGGAUAGGUACAAUAAAAUCUGAUAAAGGUUUAACUUACUGUUGACCAGUCAUGGGAAGGGUCAAAUCAAUCUAAUUGAAUCCUGUUGAGAAAUGGUCGACCAUACUGCUUAUGAUAAUUUGUUUAGUUGGCUUGUUUUAGUAUACAAGAAAUCCUUCACACAUCUUGCUACUUUGCCCUUUACCCUGAUCUCUGCUUCUGUCGCUGCGGAAUCCUAACAACUCCUAACCAAACCAGAUACAAAAUCUAAUUGGACAGUAUUUAUGCAAUUUGGGCGCACCAUAUCUUGGCAGUGACUCACAUUCGGCGUGAUCUUAAAGAUAAUUAAGUCUCCUACAGGUUCCUCAUACACUUGACAGGCUCUUAGUAAACAAAACUCUGGGGCAUUCCCCUUUAUAGGCGCA